GGGAUUGCCUCAGUAACGGCGAGUGAAGCGGCAACAGCUCAAAUUUUAAAGCUGGCGUCUUUGGCGUCCGCGUUGUAAUUUGGAGAGGCAUCUUCGGUUUGGGCGCCAGCCUAUGUUCCUUGGAACAGGACGUCACAGAGGGUGAGAAUCCCGUGCCUGGCUGGCUGUCCCUUUCCAUGUGAAGUGCCUUCGACGAGUCGAGUUGUUUGGGAAUGCAGCUCAAAAUGGGUGGUAAAUUUCAUCUAAAGCUAAAUAUUGGCGGGAGACCGAUAGCGCACAAGUAGAGUGAUCGAAAGAUGAAAAGCACUUUGAAAAUAGAGUUAAAAAGUACGUGAAAUUGUUGAAAGGGAAGCGCUUGAGACCAGACUCGGCCGGAGAUGAUCAGCCGUCCUUCUGGGCGGUGCACUCGUUUCCGGCCGGGCCAGCAUCGGUUGAGACGGCGGGAUAAAGGCCCGGGGAAUGUGGCUCCUUUCGGGGAGUGUUAUAGCCCCGGGCGCAAUGCCGCCAGCCUCGACCGAGGACCGCGCUUAAUUGCUAGGAUGCUGGCGUAAUGGUCUUCAGCGACCCGUCUUGAAACACGGACCAAGGAGUCUAACAUCUAUGCGAGUGUUUGGGUGUCAAACCCUUGCGCGUAAUGAAAGUGAACGGAGGUGGGAACCCCUCGCGGGGCGCACCAUCGACCGGUCCUGAUGUCUUCGGAUGGAUCUGAGUAGGAGCAUAGCUGUUGGGACCCGAAAGAUGGUGAACUAUGCCUGAAUAGGGUGAAGCCAGAGGAAACUCUGGUGGAGGCUCGCAGCGGUUCUGACGUGCAAAUCGAUCGUCAAAUUUGGGUAUAGGGGCGAAAGACUAAUCGAACC
rnacentral:rRNA from 1 species